CUUCGGUUGGUAGGUGAGUGGCGAACGGGUGAGUAACACGUAGGAACCUGUCGCACAGUGGGGGAUAACGCGGGGAAACCGGCGCUAAUACCGCAUGUGGUCCGAAAGGAAGAAAGCCUUUGGGCGCUGUGUGAGGGGCCUGCGGCCGAUUAGCUGGUUGGUGGGGUAACGGCCUACCAAGGCGACGAUCGGUAGCUGGUCUGAGAGGAUGGUCAGCCGGACUGGGACUGCGAUACGGCCCAG
rnacentral:rRNA from 1 species